rnacentral:rRNA from 1 species
UACAGGGGGUGCAAACGUUGCUCGGAAUUAUUGGGCGUAAAGCGCGCGUAGGCGGCUACCUAAGUCGGAUGUGAAAGCCCCUGGCUUAACUGGGGAAGUGCACCCGAAACUGAGUAGCUAGAGUGCGAAAGAGGGUCGCGGAAUUCCCGGUGUAGAGGUGGAAUUCGUAGAUAUCGGGAGGAACACCGGUGGCGAAGGCGGCGACCUGGGUCGACACUGACGCUGAGGCGCGAAAGCGUGGGGAGCGAACAGG